UAGGGAAGAACAAGUACCAGAGUAACUGCUGGUACCUUGACGGUACCUAACCAGAAAGCCACGGCUAACUACGUGCCAGCAGCCGCGGUAAUACGUAGGUGGCAAGCGUUGUCCGGAAUUAUUGGGCGUAAAGCGCGCGCAGGUGGUUCUUUAAGUCUGAUGUGAAAGCCCACGGCUCAACCGUGGAGGGUCAUUGGAAACUGGGGAACUUGAGUGCAGAAGAGGAAAGUGGAAUUCCAAGUGUAGCCGUGAAAUGCGUAGAGAUUUGGAGGAACACCAGUGGCGAAGGCGACUUUCUGGUCUGUAACUGACACUGAGGCGCGAAAGCGUGGGGAGCAAACAGGAUUAGAUACCCUGGUAGUCCACGCCGGUAAACGAUGAGUGCUAA
rnacentral:rRNA from 1 species